rnacentral:rRNA from 1 species
UACGUAGGGUGCGAGCGUUGUCCGGAAUUAUUGGGCGUAAAGGGCUCGUAGGCGGUCUGUUGCGUCGGGAGUGAAAACUCAGGGCUUAACCCUGAGCCUGCUUCCGAAGUACGGGAGCAGACUAGAGGUAUGCAGGGGAGAACGGAAUUCCUGGUGUAGCGGUGAAAUGCGCAGAUAUCUGGAGGAACACCGGUGGCGAAGGCGGCAUCCUGGACCAACACUGACGCUGAGGAGCGAAAGCCAGGGGAGCAAAGCGGG